rnacentral:rRNA from 1 species
CCCUUAGAUGUUCUGGGCCGCACGCGCGCUACACUGAUGCACUCAACGAGUCUCCACCUUGACCGAAAGGUCCGGGAAACCUUCGAACUUGCAUCGUGAUGGGGAUAGAUUAUUGCAACUAUUAAUCUUCAACGAGGAAUACCUAGUAAGCGCAUGUCAUCAGCGUGCGUUGAUUACGUCCCUGCCCUUUGUACACACCGCCCGUCGCUACUACCGAUUGAAUGAUUUAGUGAGGACUUCGGACUGGGACCGAUGCGGCUUUCGGGCUGCGUCGGUAUUCUGGAAAGAUGUCCAAACUGUAUCAUUUAGAGGAAGUAAAAGUCGUAACA